rnacentral:rRNA from 1 species
AUACGGAGGAUCCGAGCGUUAUCCGGAUUUAUUGGGUUUAAAGGGUGCGCAGGCGGCCAUUUAAGUCAGCGGUUAAAUCGUGGGGCUCAACCCCAUUCUGCCGUUGAUACUGGGUGGCUUGAUUGCGGUCGAGGUUGGCGGAAUUCGUUGUGUAGCGGUGAAAUGCAUAGAUAUGACGAAGAACACCGAUUGCGUAGGCAGCUGGCCAGACCGCAAAUGACGCUCAUGCACGAAAGUGCGAGGAUCGAACAGGAUUAGAUACCCUGGUAGUCCGCACAGUAAACGAUGAAUACUUGUUUUCGGCGAUAUAAUGUCGGAGGCAAAGCGAAAGCGAUAAGUAUUCCACCUGGGGAGUACGCCGGCAACGGUGAAACUCAAAUGAAUUGACGGGG